rnacentral:rRNA from 1 species
GCAACUCGAGUACAUGAAGCUGGAAUCGCUAGUAAUCGCAAAUCAGAAUGUUGCGGUGAAUACGUUCCCGGGCCUUGUACACACCGCCCGUCACACCAUGGGAGUUGGAAGCACCCGAAGUCGAUGACCUAACCGCGAGGGAGGAGUCGCCGAAGGUGAAGCCAGUGACUGGGGUGAAGUCGUAACAAGGUAGC